rnacentral:ncRNA from 1 species
CAAAAGCAUGGUCCCGACUUUACCAUCAGCUCUAACUCAACUUACACAUGCAAGUCUCCGCGCCCCCGUGAGUUUUACCCUUAAUUUUCCCUUCUCCGGAAAUGAGGAGUAGGCAUCAGGCACGCACAGCAGCCCAAGACGCCACGCCACGCCACACCCCCAAGGGAAUUCAGCAGUGAUAAAUAUUAAGCAAUAAGUGAAAACUUGACUUAGUCAGAGUUAAGAGGGCCGGUAAAACCCGUGCCAGCCACCGCGGUUAGACGAGUAGGCCCAAGUUGAUAGAUUACGGCGUAAAGAGUGGUUAAGGAUUUUCUCCAAAUUAAAGCCAAAGGCCUUCAUCGCUGUUAUAAGCAGAUCCGAAGAUCCGAAGCCCAUAACGAAAGUAGCUUUAUUAACACCUGACCCCACGAAAGCUAAGGAACAAACUGGGAUUAGAUACCCCAUUAUGCUUAGCCUUAAACUUAGAUGAACACCUACAACUUCAUCCGCCUGGGAACUACGAGCGCUAGCUUAAAACCCAAAGGACUUGACGGUGUUUCAGACCCAACUAGAGGAGCCUGUCCUAGAACCGAUAACCCCCGUUCAACCUCACCAUCUCUCGUUUAUUCCGCCUAUAUACCGCCGUCGCAAGCUUUCCCUGUGAAGGACCAAUAGAAAGCAUAAUGGGGAUCCCCCAAAACGUCAGGUCGAGGUGUAGCUUAUGAGAUGGGAAGAGAUGGGCUACAUUUUCUACCACAGAAAUAUCACGAAUAACCCUGUGAAACCCGGGGUUCUGAAGGUGGAUUUAGAAGUAAAAAACAAGUAGAGAGUGUUUUUGAAUCAGGCCCUGAGACGUGUACAGACCGCCCGUCACUCUCCCCGUCCCAAUCAACUAAUGUAAAUAACCAGACGAACCAUAAGAUAGGGGAGACAAGUCGUAACAUGGUAAGUGUACCGGAAGGUGUACUUGGAUAUUUUUU